rnacentral:rRNA from 1 species
AUUGAACGCUGGCGGCAGGCCUAACACAUGCAAGUCGAACGAGUGGCGGACGGGUGAGUAAUGUCUGGGAAACUGCCCGAUGGAGGGGGAUCACUACUGGAAACGGUAGCAAAUACCGCAUACCAUCGGAGGUGCCCAGAUGGGAUUAGCUAGGAGGUGGGGUAAAGGCUAACCUAGGCCACGAUCACUAGCUGGUCUGAGAGGAUGACCAGCCACACUGGAACGGAGACACGGUCCAGACUCCUACGGGAGGCAGCAGUGGGGAAUAUUGCACAUGGGGCGCAAGCCUGAUGCAGCCAUGCCGCGUGUAUGAAGAAGGCCUUCGGGUUGUAAAGUACGUUCAGCGAGGAGGCGUUACCCACAGAAGAAGCACCGGCUAACUCCGUGCCAGCAGCCGCGGUAAUAC